AGUGAACGCUGGCGGUAGGCCUAACACAUGCAAGUCGAACGGCAGCACAGUAAGAGCUUGCUCUUACGGGUGGCGAGUGGCGGACGGGUGAGGAAUACAUCGGAAUCUACUUUUUCGUGGGGGAUGACGUAGGGAAACUUACGCUAAUACCGCAUACGACCUACGGGUGAAAGCAGGGGAUCUUCGGACCUUGCGCGAUUGAAUGAGCCGAUGUCGGAUUAGCUAGUUGGCGGGGUAAAGGCCCACCAAGGCGACGAUCCGUAGCUGGUCUGAGAGGAUGAUCAGCCACACUGGAACUGAGACACGGUCCAGACUCCUACGGGAGGCAGCAGUGGGGAAUAUUGGACAAUGGGCGCAAGCCUGAUCCAGCCAUACUGCGUGGGUGAAGAAGGCCUUCGGGUUGUAAAGCCCUUUUGUUGGGAAAGAAAAGCAGCAGGUUAAUACCCCGCUGUUCUGACGGUACCCAAAGAAUAAGCACCGGCUAACUUCGUG
rnacentral:rRNA from 1 species